ACCAACCAGCACCUCAAAACAAAAUACCACAGUAAUCCAGGGGGAGACCGACCACUCCAAGGCUCUUAGCCCAGGGAGUGUUGCUGUUAUCGUAUCAGUCUUCAUUCUGAUUGUCAUCAUUAUUUUUGGAGGAGCAUACCGACACAAAAUGCGUUCAAACUACGGCCGCUUAUUAAACGACGACUACGGCUCUUUAGGGACCUUCCACAACCCCAUGUACGACCCCUGACCUUUCACCGAUCCCUCCAACGUACCAGCCCCCUGCCCCACAUCCCCAGACCCCUCAGGACGCCACGCAGAGGAAACCCUGGAGGGCCGUGUGAAAUUGCUGUUGAGAAAGCCACAGGACGAUGACCCAAACAUUACAAAUUAAUCUGCAGGGACCGGGUUGUCUGUGGUUGCACGCAAUGUCACCGUCCAUAUAUGGCAAGUACCCAGUCACAUUCUGGUUUCUGACCCGCCAGUCUGGUUAGUUCUGGCCAGGGCCGUUUUUAAAGAAUGGUCUCUAAUCUCAAAUCUCUCUGAAUGUUUAUGGAUCUUUAGGAGUUACCUUGCCUUUUCUGUGCCAGAGUUUAACUACUUAAAGAAAAGGAAGAGAAUAAUUUUUGUAGGUUAGAGUAUUCCAAACAAACAAAAUUGUAUUUAUGUGUGUGAGCUUGUGUGAUAGCCUAUGCGUGAUUGUCCAUACGUUUUUUUCUGGUUGAAGAAAAGAGAACCUGAAACAGAACAACAGUAGCCCCCUCGUAGCAGUCUGGUAUUUUAGGUUCUCUUCUGUUCCACGGAGGGCUUUGCUUUUAGUAUUUAAUGUAUUCAGUAACCAACAAUAACCAAUGUUAAAUAAGGGUUUACUUCAUUGAGCUCAGUCAUCUUUUUAACUAGUCCUACGUGAUUGGACAUCAUAAACUUACUACUGCGGUUGAUAAAUAUGGAUCCUUGGUGUGUAAACCUGAUGGAACUAAGGGAAGGUUCAUCACAUCUUAAUUAAAGCUCAUCUGUGGUGAGGUGACUCAUCCCAAUUGCUCUUGUGCAAUAAAGUCAUGUAGUCCUGGGAGAAGCAGUUCACUGGGUGGUUCACAGGUGAUUAAAUGUGUUCAUGUGUGCGUUUACUGGUUCUGGUAUAGAAACACGCACCCCUCUCUUCCAUACAUAUAGUGCCAAAACCCUCUGUGACAUCAGCUAUAUGGAACUAUAUAUAUUACACUGCUUUUAUUAACUAUACACAGCUUCUGUCUCUCCCAUACUAAUGUAUACACACACACCUUCCGUCUCACACCCUCACAGACACACAGCAGCAUUUUAGUGAUCACCUUGUUUUCAUGUUCUCUUAUUAAGCAAUCUCACCUGAGAGGGAGUGCUGCUGAACAUCAGCACGGCUGGGACUGAAGAUAAUCACAGCCGUGCAGACGUUAUGUAAAGCAGCACGACCUACGGUGUGAUACUGCUUUUAUACCACAGUUCUUCAGAUGUGAUUUGUUUGUUUAAAUGUAUUUGAAAAUUUAUUUGCCUCUGACAACAUAAACUGUACCACAAUUGG